AAAACAAAAGAAAAGAAAAUAAUAUAAAUUACUUAUAUAAAAAUAUACCCACCAUUAUUGGAAAAAUUAACCACAACUCAGUUUUCCGCGGCAAAGUGAAUCAAAAAAGGCAGUUGCAGUGUGAAAAACAGUGGAAUUUGCAACAACAACAACCGUAGCAGUAGCAGUCAAAACAUAGC
rnacentral:sRNA from 1 species